rnacentral:rRNA from 1 species
GACGAACGCUGGCGGCGUGCUUAACACAUGCAAGUCGAACGAAGAGCGAUGGAAGCUUGCUUCUAUCAAUCUUAGUGGCGAACGGGUGAGUAACGCGUAAUCAACCUGCCCUUCAGAGGGGGACAACAGUUGGAAACGACUGCUAAUACCGCAUACGAUCUAAUCUCGGCAUCGAGGAUAGAUGAAAGGUGGCCUCUACAUGUAAGCUAUCACUGAAGGAGGGGAUUGCGUCUGAUUAGCUAGUUGGAGGGGUAACGGCCCACCAAGGCGAGGAUCAGUAGCCGGUCGGAGAGGAGGAACGGCCACAUUGGGACGGAGACACGGCCCAGACUCCUACGGGAGGCAGCAGUGGGGAAUCUUCCGCAAUGGACGAAAGUCUGACGGAGCAACGCCGCGUGAGUGAUGACGGCCUUCGGGUUGUAAAGCUCUGUUAAUCGGGACGAAAGGCCUUCUUGCGAAUAGUGAGAAGGAUUGACGGUACCGGAAUAGAAAGCCACGGCUAACUACGUG